CUUCAGGACCUUUAAAAACAUACUCUUGAUUGAGUUCUUCCUCCACACAUUUGGGUUUAAUUGGUUCAGGGUGAGCCCUGGCCAGGGCUUGGGGAGUUUUAAAAGUUACCCCGGGUGAAUCUAAAGUGCAGCCAACGUUGAAAACCACUUGUCCUAAUUGAAUCAUCCAGCGCCACGUAGGGAGUUAGUGGGUGAUGCAAUAAUGUUAUUGUUAAUCGCGUUGGGCUGAGUUAUCAGAACUGGGAAUUCUGGGAAGUGCUGACCUCGCCUUCUGCUGCUAAAAAAAGGACAGAGAAGCAUGAGCUCCCUCAGCCCAGGGUCCUUCAGGAAAGCCAAUUUAUUCAGAUGAAGGAAAGGCCAGACUAGUGGUUUUAUCUUGACGAAGGCUACCAUUUUGGGAAAACCAAUUCUUUAGAACAAAGUCUAUGAGUUCAAGAGCCUGUGGGUGCCGUUCUUCAAGUGAACUGCAUGUUCCAGGAACCAAGGUAACAGAGUCCUGCCGCCUCAAUGGAGGACUGAGACUCUGGAUCAAGGACUGUUGUUGUCUGCCUGUGUGACACUUAAGAUAUCCUGACUUCCAAGGACGCCCAGCUCUGUUUCUGUGACCCAGGGAAACUACGACUCAGCUUUGCUGGGUUCUCCAUCCCUGUACCAUGACCUGGAAACUUUCUCCGAGUAAUAAGAGCUCAGAAAGGAAACUGGAGAGUGAAGAGAAUACAUUCUGAUAUCCUACGUAUACGCCCCCACAAGGAGAACCAGUACCCAAGCAUAAUGGGAAGACUUUUUCUGACUCUUCCUGCCAUGGCCCAUGAAGUGUUCACUGUCUUCCAAAGGCAUUCAAACUCCUUUGAAAGCCAUUCUCAGGAUAGCAGUUCUUUGUUAAUCCUUGACUUGACUUCUGUGUUAACAGGGAGUGCAAGCACAAAUGAUCUGAAGGGCUGGGUUUAAAAAAAAAACCCGCAUCCCAAAGAUGUGUGGCAUGUGAUAUGCAGGUCAGUGUUAGGGACGAAAGGGGAGUGUUGGGUCUGUGGAGACCUAGAGAAGCUAUGACCUGUCUAAAGAAGAUCUCCUGAGCGCCUGCUGAUUGUGAUAUGUACUGCUACAUCUUCCGAUUUGUAAAAUAGUCUGGAAAUCUAGAUUUUCUUCCAUGAGAAAUUUCCUGAUGUUCAAAGUAAAAAAAAAAAAAAAAGAAGAAGAAGAAAGAAAGAAAAAUAAUGAAGAAUCCAACAGCAUAAAUCAGUGGACUGUACCAUAGGCUGCUAUUCAACAGACUUUUGGCAAAUCUUUAUGAAAGAGAGUCUGUAUUGGAAACAUCUCUGAUGUUGUAUAAAGAAGCUGAUCACUCUUUAUCAAUUGGGCAGAGUUGCGCGGGGGUCAAAAGGGUGAGAGGCGAAAGGAAUCAGAUUAUCUUCUAUUAUUUUAGGUUGAACAGUAUUAAAGUUCUGCUUUUUUAGUCAAAAAGAGUCAAACAUCUGCAGUUUCAAAAAGUUCAGCCCAGUAGAGUUGUCGAUAAACAUGGUGAUCCUGCACAAAGUCCUAUGAUGGAGUUAGACAACUACGAUAUUUAGAGGCUGAGGACCAGUAUUGGAGAGGGUAGGCUAAUUGCUGUUAUCAAUAGACUCUAAACUAUAAAAUGGUUCUAACACAGUUUUAUGCCUUCCUCACUUACACAGUCCAAAGCAAUUUUGAGUUUCCAGGGGGCUCUAUUCAACACGUUGUUCAGGGACAAGGCUGAAAGAGAAAUUCUAUCAUCUUCAUCGCUCAACUUUCAAGGUCACUUCAUGUGUCAGUAUCCAGCAGCAGCAAAAGAAAGAAUAUGAGAGGUUUCUAUGGGCCAGAUGUGAGAGAGGCCCACAUCAUUUUUGUUCACAUUCCACUGCAAGGGAAAUUGGAAAUUAUAUUCUCAUUGUGUGCCAAAAAAGAAGAGACAAUGGAUGUGUGAUAAGCUGGCAAUCUCUGACACAUAAAGGAAGUCUCAAAGUAACUUUGCUACUGGGUUCAAACUUAAGAGAUCAGGCACAUCAACCUUCAGGAGAUGUGUCUGGCUCUGAUGCCUCCGAAUUUAAGUAAAGAUUUGGGACUCAUGGAAUUUCAGAUUUGGAAGCAAUUUAUAAGCCAUUUGUAAAUCAACUUUGAUGGUGGUCAGUAAAAAGAACAUGGACUCUGCUUCUAACCAGCUUUGAGACCCUUGGCAAGUUUUAACUUGUCUCAGACUUAGAGUCCUUGUCUAUCAAAUGGAGAUAAAAAAUAUACAAUUUUUAGUGUUGUUCUAAGAAUUUGAGACAAUUUGUGUCAUGUACGUGCAUGACGCAUAGUCAUUAUGAAUCCAGCCAAAUGGUUAUCCAGGCUCUGUUAAGAUGUCUCCAUGGGCAGGGAACUCGAUGCUUCUAGAGUUGCCCUUUCUAUUUCUAUGCAGAUCUGACAACCAGGAAUGUUCUUCAUCUUGAGCAAAAUCUGUUUCCACCCUGAGUCCUACUUCUAUCCAUGAAAACUACACAGAACGAGGUGAAUCAUUCUUCCACAUGCCAGCUCUUCAGACAUUUGAAAACAGCACUCCUGCUUUGAGAUCUGUCUUCCAGUUUCUUCAGAAAAGAAGAGAGGUUAUCCAAUCUGAAAUUAUUCUCUGGAGUGCGGAAGUCCCCCUUCUUGAGCAAGGGCACAAGAAGAUUUUGGAAUUUUAAAAUUAAUCUAAAGUCUCCUCUCCAGGAUCUGCACCCUUCACUUCAUCUUUCCUGCGAGAAGCCUCUAAUGAGUAGCCCAUUUGCAAAGCAGAGAUGAUUGACAUCCGC
rnacentral:lncRNA from 1 species